rnacentral:lncRNA from 1 species
AUGAAACCCCAUCCUUACCUGGGCUUUGGGAACCGGAUAAAGUGCCUGCAUGUUGUCCCUGGAAGGUGGUACAGAGGUGACAUUUUGUUAUUGUCCUGCACCCAUGAGUCUCAUGCAGAUACACUCUGCCCUGGAAGUGAAUCCACUCCUACGCUGGACAUCCCCAGGCUCAUUCUUCUAAUCAUCAGCCACGAGAGACACUGUGUCAAGAGAGACUUUAGGAUUUGCUUUAUCUAUCCAUUCCCUUAGCUCUUCUGUAGGAAUAUAUAUAUAUAUAUACACUGACUCCCUUAUCAAUAAAGCUCAUUUUAAAAUAUCUCUUUUUAUUUAUUUCUGUGGCUGCCCCCUGAGACCAGGGACGUUGUCUGGCCACAGUUUGAUCUCCCAAUGCAGCUCUUACCACAGCCACAGAAGGGACAAGGAGAGACUCUUAAACCAACCAGCCAUGAGGGAACUCCCAGAGAGCUUGCCUGAUGAGAACAAUCCACCCUGCUUAGUACAUCAGACCUGGUUUGGGUCAGGUCUCCAUUCGCUGGCGACUAACUGAAAAGUGAGACUCAUUUCGAAAGGCAAGAAUGAAAAUUCCCUAAGCCUCUUUUGCGAUAAUAGCACAAGGAUUAGCCAAACUGUCCAAACUUAUGCCACUGAGUCCCCCAUUUAUUCAUCAGCACCACCCUCUUUCUCCACCUGCAUAAAUGCCCUCUGGUCAGGAACUUGAAAAUGGC